GGACGAACGCUGGCGGCGUGCCUGAUACAUGCAAGUUGAGCGCUGAAGGUUGGUACUUGUACCAACUGGAUGAGCAGCGAACGGGUGAGUAACGCGUGGGGAAUCUGCCUUUGAGCGGGGGACAACAUUUGGAAACGAAUGCUAAUACCGCAUAAAAACUUUAAACACAAGUUUUAAGUUUGAAAGAUGCAAUUGCAUCACUCAAAGAUGAUCCCGCGUUGUAUUAGCUAGUUGGUGAGGUAAAGGCUCACCAAGGCGAUGAUACAUAGCCGACCUGAGAGGGUGAUCGGCCACAUUGGGACUGAGACACGGCCCAAACUCCUACGGGAGGCAGCAGUAGGGAAUCUUCGGCAAUGGACGAAAGUCUGACCGAGCAACGCCGCGUGAGUGAAGAAGGUUUUCGGAUCGUAAAACUCUGUUGGUAGAGAAGAACGUUGGUGAGAGUGGAAAGCUCAUCAAGUGACGGUAACUACCCAGAAAGGGACGGCUAACUACGUG
rnacentral:rRNA from 1 species